CUCAGAUGGAAAUGCAGAAAUCACCCGUCUUCUGCGUCGCUCACGCUGGGAGCUGUAGACCGGAGCUGUUCCUAUUCGGCCAUCUUGGCUCCUCCUGAACUUUUAUGCUCUGCUUCUUCUCGAAUGCUUUGCUGCUUAGAAAUUUCUUCUGGCAGAUACCUUAAAUCAUCUCUGUCAAGUUCAAAGUUCCACAGAUCUCUAGGGAACUAGUUCUGCAUGGCUGGGGAGGCCUCACAAUCAUGGUGGAAGGCAAGGAGAUGCAAAAGCAUGUCUCACAUAGCAGCAGGCAGCUACAGUUUAUUUUUAACAUGGCAUUCAGGAGAAUAAUUUGAACACGUAAGUUGGGUCAUGUCCCAACCGUGCUAAAACUUCCUGUGGUUCUCUCUCUCUCUCAGAGUGAACAGGCCAAGCACCCAUCCUCCCUCCCUCUGCUCACCCACCCUGACCUCUCGCUGUUCCCUGACCUCACUGGGUCCUCCUGCUUCUCAGCAUCUGUGCUCGUUCCCGCUGCUUGGGCAGCUGUGGCCCUAGAUACUUGCGUGACUCACUCCCUCGCUUCCUCUGGUCUCUGCUCAGACAUCAAUUUAUCAAUAUUUCCCCAACUCCCCCACCUUGCAAUAGGGUCGCAUCCCUCUCCCUCUGCCCCGACCUCCUCCAAGGUUCUUCAGAGCAUCCCUCACCAUCUGACACAUCAUCUACUCUGUUUAUUUUCUGCUUCCCUGCACUAGAACUCAAGCCUUCUGAGAGCAAGGACUUGCUUUUGUUCCCUGCGAUAACCCCAGUGCCUAGAUCUGUACCUGGCACAUAAUGGGCUCAACAAAUAUUCUUUGAAAUGAAUGAUAGUAUUAUUCUUCUCGUUUGACAGACAAGGAAACAGGCUCAGAAGUAACAUGCUAAGGUCAUCAACCUAGUAAUAUAGCAAUUACCAGGAGCUGAGCCUGUCCCAUCCCCUUCGCUCACUGACCUAAGUGUGAAGUCAUUCCCCUCCUUCCAGUCAGGAAAAAUGCCCUCCCAUCUCCCACCCCACCACCACUACAGGAACUCUUCUGCAGAGGCUGUCCGGAAUGUUCAAGAUUAAAAUUAUUGUGAGAUGCAGGUCAUGUAGCUAAGAUGCUGUAUUAGUCCAUUUUCAUGCUGCUAAUGAAGACACACCCAAGAAUGGGUAAUUUAUAAAUAAAAAGAGGUUUAAUGAACUCACAGUUCCACGUGGCUGGGGAGGCCUUGCAAUCAUGGCAGAAGGCGAAAGGCACAUCUUACAUGGUGGCAGACAAGACAGAAUGAGAACGAAGCAAAAGGGGUUUCCCCUCAUAAAACCAUCAGAUCUUGUAAGACUUAUUCAUUACCAUGAGAACAGUAUGAGGGAACCACCCCCAUGAUUCAAUUGUCUCCCACCAGAGCCCUCCCACAACACAUGGGAAUUAUGGGAGCUACAAUUCAAGAUGAGAUUUGAAUGGAGACAUAGAGCCGAACCAUAUCAGAUGCAGAUGCAGGAGGUGUAGAAGAUAGGGGUGAGUGGGUACCAGCCCCUGCUGUGGCUUUGGGACUUGGCUUGAUCCUUGGUCUCCUGCUCCGUCCUCAUUGAGGGACAAUGAAUGGUGAUUAGCAGCCUGGGUUCUGCAGCUGCCCCACAGCUGUCCUUCUUUAACAGCAGUUAACGAAUCCAACAUUAAACAUUCCUCUCCCAAGCGACUUCUUGCCCCCUAGAUGGUGUCUAUCACUGUCACUAUCACGAUCCUUUAACUUUUCAAGCUCAUUUAAAGUGUUAUCUGUAACCAGGAUGCUGUGAAACACAUACCUCUUCAUCAGUUUACACAGCUCUUCCAGACCUUACCUGAAGUUACUGAGUCUGUUUUGAUGUUUUUUUUUUUUUGAGACAGAGUCUUGCACUGUCACCUAGGCUGGAGUGCAGUGGCGCAAUCUCUGCUUACUGCACCCUCUGCCUCCCAGGUUCAAGUAAUUCUCCUGCCUCAGCCUUCCAAGUAGCUGAGAUUACAGGCACGUGCCCCCAUGCCCAGCUAAUUUUUGUAUUUUUAGUAGAGGCGGGGUUUCACCAUGUUGGCCAGGCUGGUCUCGAACUCCUGACCUCAGGUGAUCCACCCACCUCAGCCUCCCAAAGCACUGGGAUUACAGUUGUGAGCCACCACGCCCAGCCGAGUCCGUUUUGUUUAAGGCAUGUGAGCAACCUCAAAAAUCCAUGCCAAGUGGGGAGCAAAGGAAGCUCAUUUCACCCCCACACCUCCAUUUAUCUUCUAAACUAAUUUUCACCCAACUCAAGGUCUGGGUCCUUGUGAAGACAUUUAAGUUUGCAAGAGGCACGUGGGUAAUGACUGGUGGAUUAUUAAUAAAAUACAG
rnacentral:lncRNA from 1 species